GGAGGAUAUGCUAUUUUUGGCUAGAUUUGCUUGUCUAGAUCAAGGACAAGCAAUAGAACAGGGCAAGUCAACCUGGCUCCUGAAAAGCUCAUCCUCUGCUGAGAUUUUAGCAGGAAAAUUUCCUCCCCCAGUGAUUCCAAGAGAAAUCAGAAAACCAUGCCGCCAAAUCAAGGAUACAAUUUUACUGGAAGAAAUACAUAUCUGUUCCACACUGUAGGGUCUUAUGAGCCAGGGAAAAAGAAAAAUGCUGAGACCUUCUACCAAGAUUGUUGGAAGUAGCAACCUCCCAAGCCACUCACGAUUUAUUUGUUAAUCUAUGUAUUUGCUCACCUGUAUACUAUGUGUAUGUUGAUUUGCCAGUUUGUACCUCUUUGGAGUGGGAGGAGCUAUAGACAUGUGAUUGUACUGAGCAUGUGAAGACUCAAGACUCCAUUUUGUCUUCAGUCUAACAUCAGAUCUCAGUGGAGAUGGAUGGAUGGAUGUGUUUGGUCUUCAAUGAAAGCAGGUUGCUGUUAGGACUUUAAUUGAUACAGUAUGACUUCUGGACUUUAGCGAGUACGACUAUAAUUAAAGACCAUGGACAAUUGAUAAAAAUGAUACUCUU
rnacentral:lncRNA from 11 species